rnacentral:rRNA from 1 species
GUGGUUUUGGAUGGACUCGCGGCCUAUCAGCUUGUUGGUGAGGUAAUGGCUCACCAAGGCGACGACGGGUAGCCGGCCUGAGAGGGUGACCGGCCACACUGGGACUGAGACACGGCCCAGACUCCUACGGGAGGCAGCAGUGGGGAAUAUUGCACAAUGGGCGGAAGCCUGAUGCAGCGACGCCGCGUGAGGGAUGACGGCCUUCGGGUUGUAAACCUCUUUCAGUAGGGAAGAAGCGAAAGUGACGGUACCUGCAGAAGAAGCGCCGGCUAACUACGUGCCAGCAGCCGCGGUAAUACGUAGGGCGCAAGCGUUAUCCGGAAUUAUUGGGCGUAAAGAGCUCGUAGGCGGUUUGUCGCGUCUGCCGUGAAAGUCCGGGGCUCAACUCCGGAUCUGCGGUGGGUACGGGCAGACUAGAGUGAUGUAGGGGAGACUGGAAUUCCUGGUGUAGCGGUGAAAUGCGCAGAUAUCAGGAGGAACACCGAUGGCGAAGGCAGGUCUCUGGGCAUUAACUGACGCUGAGGAGCGAAAGCAUGGGGAGCGAACAGGAUUAGAUACCCUGGUAGUCCAUGCCGUAAACGUUGGGCACUAGGUGUGGGGGACAUUCCACGUUUUCCGCGCCGUAGCUAACGCA